rnacentral:rRNA from 1 species
CCUACGGGAGGCAGCAGUGGGGAAUCUUGCGCAAUGGGCGAAAGCCUGACGCAGCCAUGCCGCGUGAAUGGUGAAGGUCUUAGGAUUGUAAAAUUCUUUCACCGGGGACGAUAAUGACGGUACCCGGAGAAGAAGCCCCGGCUAACUUCGUGCCAGCAGCCGCGGUAAUACGAAGGGGGCUAGCGUUGCUCGGAAUUACUGGGCGUAAAGGGAGCGUAGGCGGAUAGUUUAGUCAGAGGUGAAAGCCCAGGGCUCAACCUUGGAAUUGCCUUUGAUACUGGCUAUCUUGAGUAUGGGAGAGGUUAGCGGAACUCCGAGUGUAGAGGUGAAAUUCGUAGAUAUUCGGAAGAACACCAGUGGCGAAGGCGGCUAACUGGCCCAUUACUGACGCUGAGGCUCGAAAGCGUGGGGAGCAAACAGGAUUAGAUACCCUGGUAGUCCACGCCGUAAACGAUGAGUGCUAGUUGUCGGCAUGNAUGCAUGUCGGUGACGCAGCUACGACAUAAGUACACUCCGCCGUCGGGUAGGUACGGUCGGCGAAGAAGUUAAACGUAACUAAAGUAGUAAGUUAGUUACGGUCGUUGAGACGUUGCCGACGGACGACGACGAGGGAGGAGG